UAAGCCGUUGAAGGUGAAUCGUAAGGUUUGCUGGAGGUAUCAGAAGUGCGAAUGCUGACAUGAGUAACGACAAAGGGGGUGAAAAACCUCCUCGCCGGAAGACCAAGGGUUCCUGUCCAACGUUAAUCGGGGCAGGGUGAGUCGACCCCUAAGGUGAGGCCGAAAGGCGUAAUCGAUGGGAAACGGGUUAAUAUUCCCGUACUUCUGACUAUUGCGAUGGGGGGACGGAGAAGGCUAGGUGGGCCAGGCGACGGUUGUCCUGGUUCAAGUGCGUAGGCUUGAGAGUUAGGUAAAUCCGGCUCUCUCUAAGGCUGAGACACGACGUCGAGCUACUACGGUAGUGAAGUCAUUGAUGCCAUGCUUCCAGGAAAAGCCUCUAAGCUUCAGAUAGUCAGGAAUCGUACCCCAAACCGACACAGGUGGUCGGGUAGAGAAUACCAAGGCGCUUGAGAGAACUCGGGUGAAGGAACUAGGCAAAAUGGUACCGUAACUUCGGGAGAAGGUACGCUCUUGAUGGUGAAGUCCCUCGCGGAUGGAGCUGACGAGAGUCGCAGAUACCAGGUGGCUGCAACUGUUUAUUAAAAACACAGCACUGUGCAAAAUCGCAAGAUGACGUAUACGGUGUGACGCCUGCCCGGUGCCGGAAGGUUAAUUGAUGGGGUUAGCGCAAGCGAAGCUCUUGAUCGAAGCCCCGGUAAACGGCGGCCGUAACUAUAACGGUCCUAAGGUAGCGAAAUUCCUUGUCGGGUAAGUUCCGACCUGCACGAAUGGCGUAAUGAUGGCCACGCUGUCUCCACCCGAGACUCAGUGAAAUUGAAAUCGCUGUGAAGAUGCAGUGUACCCGCGGCUAGACGGAAAGACCCCGUGAACCUUUACUACAGCUUGGCACUGAACAUUGAACCUACAUGUGUAGGAUAGGUGGGAGGCUAUGAAGACGUGACGCCAGUUGCGUUGGAGCCGUCCUUGAAAUACCACCCUUGUAUGUUUGAUGUUCUAACUUAGACCCAUUAUCUGGGUUGAGGACAGUGCCUGGUGGGUAGUUUGACUGGGGCGGUCUCCUCCCAAAGAGUAACGGAGGAGCACGAAGGUGGGCUAAUCACGGUUGGACAUCGUGAGGUUAGUGCAAUGGCAUAAGCCCGCUUAACUGCGAGAAUGACGGUUCGAGCAGGUGCGAAAGCAGGUCAUAGUGAUCCGGUGGUUCUGUAUGGAAGGGCCAUCGCUCAACGGAUAAAAGGUACUCCGGGGAUAACAGGCUGAUACCGCCCAAGAGUUCAUAUCGACGGCGGUGUUUGGCACCUCGAUGUCGGCUCAUCACAUCCUGGGGCUGAAGUCGGUCCCAAGGGUAUGGCUGUUCGCCAUUUAAAGUGGUACGCGAGCUGGGUUUAGAACGUCGUGAGACAGUUCGGUCCCUAUCUGCCGUGGGCGUUGGAAGAUUGAAGGGGGCUGCUCCUAGUACGAGAGGACCGGAGUGGACGAACCUCUGGUGUUCGGGUUGUGUCGCCAGACGCAUUGCCCGGUAGCUAAGUUCGGAAUUGAUAAGCGCUGAAAGCAUCUAAGCGCGAAGCGAGCCCUGAGAUGAGUCUUCCCUGACAGUUUAACUGUCCUAAAGGGUUGUUCGAGACUAGAACGUUGAUAGGCAGGGUGUGUAAGCGUUGUGAGGCGUUGAGCUAACCUGUACUAAUUGCCCGUGAGGCUUAACCAUACAACACCCAAGG
rnacentral:rRNA from 2 species